UCCUCUGUAAUUCCAGAACACUCUGCAAGAUUUGUUCUUCCUCAUCCAGGAAUUCACAGUGUGAUGCAUCCAGCCUGGGCCAGAAACAAAAGAGGCCUGGAGAGAAUGUCAGGGGCGUGGUGUAGAAGUCGAACCUUGCUUGGUAGAGGCGGUGGCUUUGAGGACCCUGGCGAUGGAGAGGAAGUUCUGACAUGAACAUGCUAUAGGUUUUUGUAGUGCUGGUGGUGGUGAUGACUUAAAAGGAGGAAGAAAGGAAGGAGGAAGAGAGGAAGGGAAAGAGGAAGAAGAGAGGAAGGGGAAAGAGGAGGGAGAGAGGAAGGAGGAAAGGGAAGGUGGAAGAAGAAAAGCUGAGCCGAUGGAGGAGGGAAGUAAUUUCUCAUCAAAGAGAGCCAAGUUCCUGAAUACUCAAGUCCCAAAAUGUACAGUUCACAUGGGUUCAAACUUCGCCUCUCACUUCCCUGACAUCCGGAUUGCCGAGCUGAAGUGUAGGUGUAAGCCUGGGUGCCAGAAGUCUUCAAAGAUUCACGGGAUUAAGAGAUGAGCCUCUGAUGGAUUUGGAGAGUGAAGAGUCCACCCAGAGAUAACCAGAGUCUGUUGGAUUUGGAGGUCCAAGGAGGAGAUGGGGUGGCAGGUGGCAGAGGCUUCAAGGAAGAAAGGUAGCAGGUGCUGCAUGAACAAGGAGUGGCGGACUGGAGCUGAGGCCCACACAGCAAUGGCUGCAGUUAGAGGAGGGCACUCCCCCAUCCAGAAAGGGGGAAUGGGCUGGUUAUGGAAGAUAGCAGAGAGGGUCUGGUUCUGCCUCCAUGAUUGUCAUUACCCCAGAACUGUCCUCAAGGCCACUAUGCCAGGACAGUGAAGGUUUGAGAUACUGCACCUUACUCACUUAAACAGUCAAAACUUUUAUUUCCGCCCAAUUUGAUAGAGACCUUUCUAAACCAUAUUACACACUUCUCUGCCUUUUUCAAAGAGUACUGCAUGGAACAUUCGGCCUUUUCUUGGUGGCUUAAAGGCAUUACCAUCAAUGACUGUUUUGCAUUGACCUCAAAUGUGGUCAUGCCUCUAGAGCUCCUUGAGAGUGAUUUUACAUGGGUGCUCCAGAAACAAAUAGCUGCUAGAUCUUUCUAUUUAUUUUUCUUUCUUUCUUUCUUUUUAGAGACAGGGUGUCACUCUGUUGCCCAUGCUAGGGGUGCAGUGGCACCAUCAUAGCUCACUGCAGCCUUGAACUCCUGGGCUCAAGUGAUCCUCCCUCCUCAGCCUCCCUCGUAGCUGGGACUAUACACAUGUGCUACCACACCAGGCAAAUUUUUGUAUUUUUUGUAGAGAUGGGCUUUCACCAUGUUGUCCAGGCUGGUCUCGAACUCCUAGGCUCAAGCAAUCCUCCCUCCUCGGCCUCCCAAAGCACUGGGAUUACAGGCAUGACCUACCGUGCCCAGGCUCAUUUUGAUUUUAAUAGGAUAAAGUAAAGAUGAAAAGGAUUCUCUCUUCUCUCCUGUCAGUUGUCCCUUUUUAUAGCUAUCAAUAUACCUGACUGUAAAGGCCAUCUUUGUUCUGUCUUCUAACUUGGUGCAUCUAACCAAGCUGUGAAGAUGUUACACCUGUGUCCCAGGUGAGAGGAAACUGACUGUGAGUGAGACUCCAAUGGGCUGGCCUCUGAGGAAAGUGUGUGGAUUUUAUGACAUCUAUUUUGUGUCUUCAGGGUCUCUUUGUGGCUCACUUUUCAGUUAUUAGCUGAGUCCUAGACAGUUAAAGCUGCUGAGUAGGUGAUCUAUUUCUUCUGUAUUGCUCACAGGUAUUUGACACUGGCUUUUCAGAAAAUAAGCUAAAUUAGGUCUCAGUAUCUCCACAGAUAAGAAAAUAUGGCGAAGAUGGGUAAUAAGUAGUCCAAACAUAUAAACACAUCACGGUAAAAAAAAAAAAAAAAAAAAAAAAUUCUCCCAGAUAUCCUUGGGUCUUGGCAAGAGAGAAGUUAGAAUGGAAAUAGUAAUUUUUAAAACUAUGUUUUAUUCAAAAGAAGUACGUCUAACAGAAAGAAACAUAGAACUUCACGUUAAAUAAGAACUUAUUCAACUACAUCGAAAUCAGUAAGCCUAGGAGCAAAAAGAUGCUCAUCUGAUGAAGUGAAUCUAAAAUGCUUUCCCAAAACAUAAUAUGAACACACCCAUUUCUGCAUACAGAUAAGAGGGCAGGGCCAAAGGACAUCACCUCCUCGGCAGCUACUACACAUUUCGUUCUCCUACAAGAAGUGAUUCUUCCAGUUAUCCACCUGGAAUGGCAGUCAUUUUUCCCAUUAUCCAACUGAUAACUCCCUUGCUCAGAAAGGAGACCUGGUGUUUUAGAUUUCAUUUUGUCCAACAGAGAGGUAAGGUUGGUGUGUUGAAAAAAAGACAUCAUUGGUGAGUGUUCAUGGUGUUAUUGGGUUCCUAAUUACAAGAGACUGAAAUAUGGUGCUGGCAGACAAAGGACCUGGAUGUUAGGAAAGAAGGUUUCAAACUGAAGGGAAAAGACAGAGACAUUUUAUGAACUGAGCCAGCGUAGCAUUGAAUCAACCCUUACUGUGUAGCAAAAUCAUCUAGGGAACGUUUUUAAAAUUUCAUUCUCUUUAUUGAUAUAUAAUUUGUAAAUUGCAUGUAUAGAUAAUAAAUAUACAACACUUAAGACAUCAUUUGAAAAUGGGUUUGGAUAAAUGCCUAUGCCUUGUAACAACCCACCAUUAUCAAGACAUCAGACACAUUCCAGAAAGUUCUCUCUGGCAGUUUCCAGACACUCAUAGAUGCCCUGUCUUAGAAACAACCUCCGCUCUGGUUCUCUGUAUUUUAGUUUACUUGUUCUAGAACUUUAUAUAAGUGGAAUUAUGUAGUAGGUACCCUUUUGUGUGUGAUCUCUUCCACUCAGCAUGUUUUCCAGGUUCAUCUGUGUUGUCAUGGGAACCAGUAGUUUGCUCCUUCUCUAUUACUGAGCAGUAUUUUAUGGUAGAGAUAUACCACAAUUUGUUUAUUAGUUUUCUAGUUGAGGAACAUUUGGAUGGUUUCCAGUUUGGGCUAUUAUUAAUAAAGCUUUUAAGUCUACUAGUUUGUGUCUAUUUUCAUUUAUCUUGGGUAGACACCUAGAAGUAGUGUUUUUGGUCAUUGGGUAGGUGUAUGUUUCACUUUAUGAGAAACUGCCAGAACAGUAUCCAAAGUGGUUGUACCACUUUAUACUCCUACCAGAAACAAAUGAGAGUUCCAGUUGGUCUGCAUCCUUGCCAACAUUUGGUGUUGUCAUUUUUAAAUUUUAGCCAUGUUAGUAGGUUUUAAUUCACAUUUCCCUUAUGACUACUGAUGUUAAAUGCCUUUUUAUGUGUUUACUGAUCAUUUACAAAUUUUCCUUUGUGAAGUGCCUGUUCAAGCUUUUUGAUCAAUUUCUUCUUUUUAUUACUCAAUUGUAGCUAUUGCUAAUCUAUACUGGUUAUAAGUCCUUUGUCAGAUAUAUGUGUAGGAAAUAUUUUCUGCCAGUCUGUGAUUUGUUUCUUUUUCUUAACAGUAGCUUUUGAUGAACAGGAAUGUUUAAUUUUCAUGAAGCUCAUUUUAAUACUUUUUUCUUUUAUGAUUAUAUGGAGAACAUAAACAUGAGAGAUUUUUUAUGAUUAACUGGAAAACCAUACCCUAGAGGUUUGAUUUCUCCAAUCAUUUUAAUGUGCAGCCAGGGUUGAGAACCCCGUCCCUAAAACAAAGUAUGACUUAAGAAGCAGAGGGCUCUAAAAAAAUGAAAUUCUGAAAAUACAGUAAGGCAUAAUCCAGAUGAACACAAGGGAGGAGGUACUUAAACUCCUGAGCUGUGUGUCAGCGCAGGGAGCAUUUCACUAUGCAGGUAGAGAGGAGCACAGACAAAGGACAGUACAGGAGAGGCUGGGUUAUGGUCACAGCUCUGACCUCAGGCCUGUGCAGUGCUCAGAUAGCAAAACAUGGACCUUGUAAAAUUGUGUUUCAGGUAAGAAGAUGAACAAAGGAAGGUGAUGGCCUGGGGUAGAUGGUGGAACAGAUGAUGACACUGCCCAGCUGCAAUUUUACUCUAGCCUUGCCAUCUGGAAGCAAAAUCUCCAAUAUUAGUGGAGCAGAACACAGAUGGUUAAGAGAGAACAGAAGCUAAAGAUGGAUGGACAGAGAUUUAGGGAGCCCCGAGCAGCCCAAAUGAGUUCAGGUCUCCAGGCCCCAUGAAUGACAGCCCAGGGAACAGGAAGACCUUUCAGAGGUAAUUGAGGAAUCACACCGUAAUCUCUGAAAAUCACUGAGCAAGGGAACAGUGCCAGGAAACUCAAGAUAAGAAAAUGUUCCAGGUUUUAAAAAUGGGGCUGUCAGAAACUGUCAGGCCACAGCAGUGUCCAGCAUCUGCCCCAGGAAUGUGGCCCUUGAAGCCUGGGCAGCCCCAGGCAGCUGUCCAGGAAGUUCAAACCCUCUCCAGCUGCAAAUAAACAGCAUUGACUACAAAUCCCGUUGACAUGCCUCUUCUCUCUGGGAUAAAGCUUGUGAACACAGGCCCCACCCAGCCCUGCUUCACAACACUUGUAGCUUCUUUUACAAUAGUCGUAAUUCUGUCACUAAUUAUUAUACUUAUUGAGCACAUACUAUAUGCUUGGCUAGUUAUCUCUCAAAUUCCAAAACUCUUGAGUCCUCAAGAAUACACAUUCAGCCCAGAUCUCCAAAGGCCCCAGUUUGAAAAUCACUGGAUUAAAAGUUAAGAGUUGGUAAGCGGAUUUUAAAAACUGCGAUACAU